UACCUGUUGCAUCACCUGUAAGGACCGUGUGCAAAAAAUUAGGGUCGUGUGCAAAAAUAGGUUGGACUUAAUUACCUUUUGAUCGUACUAUGUACGAUUUUGUACACAGUCUAGUCAGCGAGCUACCUAUGCAUUAUUACAUCAUACACUUGUAAAAUUAAAGUUUCAUUUUCACUUUUGUUUCUAAGAAGUGAACUUAGAUUUUCAGAAAAUGUAGGACUAUCUUUUGUUUUUCCUCUCUUUUACUAUGAUGAUUUUCCUGCUGUAAAGCUUUUCUUGUAUAAAGCUCAAUUUCUCUAUGACCACGGAAAUAAGCAUCCUGAUGUAUUCUUGUCAUGUGAAUGUAGAGAGCGUGUUCAUUUUUAAAAUCUCCUUUCUGACAGACAUAUUCCACAGGAUCAGCUGAGAUGUUAUUUCACUGGAUUAUUUAAUGGAUAGGCUUAUUGGGCAUAUAGUUGGAUAUCUCUGUCAUCAACAUGGAAUGUAUGACUUCAUCUUUAUACAGUCGGGUUCUGGUUCGGCGGCCAUGGCGAAUCUCGGCAAGAUUUUACCCCCAGUGAAAAAGGCUUGUAAUCCACCGUUCCUCAACCUGGAAGAUAUGUUUUGUUCCUAACCAUCUAUAAUCCAUUCUCUAUGAAGUGAAGCCUGGCUGCUGGUCUUCCU